GUCCACGCCCUAACUAUGUCAACUAGUUGUCGGGUCUUAUUAGACUUGGUAACGUAGCUAACGCGUGAAGUUGACCGCCUGGGAGUACGGUCGCAAGAUUAAACUCAAAGGAAUUGACGGGACCCGCACAAGCGGUGGAUUAUGUGGAUUAAUUCGAUGCAACGCGAAACCUUACCUACCCUUGACAUGUCAGAAAGUUUUCAGAGAUGAAAUCGUGCUCGAAAGAGAAUCUGAACACAGGUGCUGCAUGGCUGUCGU
rnacentral:rRNA from 1 species